rnacentral:rRNA from 1 species
ACGUAGGGUCCAAGCGUUAAUCGGAAUUACUGGGCGUAAAGCGUGCGCAGGCGGCUUUAUAAGCCAGAUGUGAAAUCCCCGGGCUUAACCUGGGAAUGGCAUUUGGGACUGUAAGGCUAGAGUACGGCAGAGGGGACUAGAAUUCCUGGUGUAGCAGUGAAAUGCGUAGAUAUCAGGAGGAAUACCGAUGGCGAAGGCAGGUCCCUGGGUCGAUACUGACGCUCAUGCACGAAAGCGUGGGGAGCAAACAGGAUUAGAUACCCUGGUAGUCCACGCCCUAAACGAUGUCAACUGGUUGUUGGGGAAUUGAUUUCCUUAGUAACGAAGCUAACGCGUGAAGUUGACCGCCUGGGGAGUACGGUCGCAAGAUUA